GAUGUUAGCGGCGGACGGGUGAGUAACACGUGGGUAACCUGCCUGUAAGACUGGGAUAACUCCGGGAAACCGGGGCUAAUACCGGAUGGUUGUUUGAACCGCAUGGUUCAAACAUAAAAGGUGGCUUCUGCUACCACUUACAGAUGGACCCGCGGCGCAUUAACUAGUUGGUGAGGUAACGGCUCACCAAGGGAACCAUGCGUAGCCCACCUGAAAGGGUGAUCGGCCACACUGGGACUGAAACCCGGCCCAAACUCCUACGGGAGGCAGCAGUAGGGAAUCUUCCGCAAUGGACGAAAGUCUGACGGAACAACCCCCGCGUGAGUGAUGAAGGUUUUCGGAUCGUAAAGCUCUGUUGUUAAGGAAGAACAAGUACCGUUCGAAUAGGGCGGUACCUUGACGGUACCUAACCAGAAAGCCACGGGUUAACUACCUGCCAGCAGCCGCGGGUAAUACGUAAGUGGCAAGCGUUGUCCCGGAAUUAUUGGG
rnacentral:rRNA from 1 species